rnacentral:misc_RNA from 1 species
AGACAACUCUCCCUCCACGAGAAGCCUAACCAGUUCUUGAAGAAAAAUCCAUCUCACCAAAUCCUUCAUUGAACUAACAAAAAAGAAAAAGAAAGAAAGGAAAAAAAAAUCCUAAUUCAUUGUAAGCUUCUCUCUCUCUAUCUCUGUGUCUUUAUCUUGCUAGAUGUUUCUCUAUAUUUCCAUCCCUCUCCCUUCUCUUCUCUCACCAUUUGUCUCAUGCAUCCGUCUCGAAGGAAAAAUCCUCUCCUUUCCUCAGUAACAGUAGCCAUGAAGCACAAGAAAAACAGUAAUCUCUCUGUAUUUGUUGUGGUUUUUUCUGUU